GGACGGGGUCUUGUGGGGGGAGGCUGAGCUGAUUGGGGAGGGGGCACUGGGAUUUGGUGAGUUAUAACGCGUUUGGGGGAUCCCCCCCCUCCACGCUUUCAAACUAGGGAUUCUCUGGGGGCUGUGAUGCUUGUGGGGAAAAGCCAGUUUGUUUAGUUCCCCUACUUUACACCCCAAAACCUGUGAGUCUUGUGGUUAAAAGUUGAAUCUAGACACCCCCCUCCCCCAUAUGGUUGUAAAAGAAGAAUUAGAGUAAUAGUAAAACAUUUUAAAAAAUUGAAGUUGGCAAACAUACAUGGGUUUGAUUGGCUAAAAAACUAUCUCUGUGCAGAUGGGAAGCAUUAGUGUGGCCAGCGUAUAAUUAUUUUUACACAUCUAGAAUAGUAGCUAGAGUCAUUAAAGAUCCCACCUUAUGCGUUGGCAAUAAUGUAUUUAAAGAUGCAUCUGCUUAGUAGGAGAGCAUACAGUGGCUUGCUUUUCAGUCAAGGUUCCAUGGCAACUUGCCUUAGAAGAGGCAAAAGUUUAAUCAAACCCCGUCUAUGUAGAAAUAUCAGCCUCUCCUGUCAGAGAUAUACAGUUAUGACAUCGUGGAUAAUAGAGAGAUAUGGACGAAAUGAUGUGCUACGAUUUACAAAUAACAUGAUGUUCCCUGUAAUACAUUUUCCAAAUGAAGUCAUUAUUAAAGUCCAUGCUGCAAGUUUAAACCCUAUAGAUGUUAAUAUGAGAAAUGGUUAUGGAGCAGCUGCUUUAAAUAUGAAACGUGAUCCACUGAAAUUGAAAAGCACCGGGAAUGAAUUUCCUCUAACACUUGGUCGAGAUGUAUCUGGUGUAAUUAUGGAAUGUGGGCUAAAUGUGUCCUAUUUCAAACCUGGAGAUGAGGUAUGGGCAGCAAUUCCUCCCUGGAAACAAGGCACUAUAUCAGAGUUUGUUGUAGCUAGUGGAAAUGAGAUCUCUCACAAGCCCAAGUGUCUCAGUCACAUGGAAGCUGCCUCUUUACCAUAUGUCGGUCUAACAGCAUGGUCUGCAAUGAACCAAAUUGGGGGAUUGAACCAAGAUAAUUGCAGUGGGAAACGAAUAUUAAUUUUCGGCGCUUCAGGUGGAGUUGGUACCUUUGCUAUCCAGCUAAUGAAAGCUUGGGGUGGUCAUGUGACAGCCGUUUGUUCUCAGGAUGCCAGUACCCUGGUGAAAAAGCUUGGAGCAGAUGAUGUGAUUGAUUACAAAUCUGGAGAUGUAGCAGAGCAACUGAAAAUGUUACCAUUGUUUGAUUUCAUCCUAGAUAAUGUUGGUGGACCCACUGAAAAAUGGUCUCCAGAUUUCCUCAAGAAAUGGUCAGGAGCCACAUAUGUUACUUUGGUAACACCCUUUCUACUGAAUGUGGACAGGCUUGGAGUAGCUGAUGGCAUGCUACAAACAGGAGUCACGAUUGGAACCAAAACUGUAAAGCACCUCUGUAAAGGAAUCCAUUAUCGAUGGGCAUUUUUCACACCGAGCGGCCAAUCUUUGGAUGAGAUAGCAAAACUGGUUGAAUCAGGAAAGUGGUGAAAUGGAGAAGGGGGUGGGAGAGAAGGCCAUGGAAAGUGGGACUUGAGAGAUGCAGCAGGGAAAGAAAUGCAGACAUAAGAAAGGAGAGAAACAAAGGCAUGGAAGAGGGAGAGAAACAGAAAGGUGAUGGGGAAGGAAGAGAAACAAAAGGCAGAAAUAGCGGUGUUCCUAAAGAUCCAUCCAGUUGUUGAGCAAGUCUUCUCUUUUUCUGAAGUUCCAAAGGCCUUUCUGAAGCUAGAAGGAGGACGUGCACGGGGGAAAACAGUGAUCAAUGUAAUUAAUAAAAAAUAACAUCUACAGCCA